UUUUGACACUUAAAAUGUGAACAGAAACAGAUUGAGUUGCUGACAAAAGUGAAGAUGCCACUAUCAGAUUUGGUGAGUGCGGCUCUGGCGCUGGAUCAAUCUAUCUUGGAUGUUGAUCAAGUGGAGAAUCUUAUAAAGUUCUGCCCUACGAAAGUAGAAAUGGAACUUCUCAAGAAUUACACCGGAGACAAGGAAACUCUUGGGAAGUGUGAACAGGUAAUGGCUAUAC